rnacentral:rRNA from 1 species
ACUGACAUUAGAUACCCCCGUAGUCCAGGGUGUAAACGCUGCAGACUUGGUGUUGGAAAGUCCUUUGGGGGGCAUUCGGUGCCGGAGAGAAGUUGUUAAGUCUGCUACUUGGGGAGUACGUCCGCAAGGAUGAAACUUAAAGGAAUUGGCGGGGGAGCACCGCAACGGGAGGAGCGUGCGGUUUAAUUGGAUUCAACACCGUAAACUCACCAGGGAAGACUGUUACAUGAAAGCCGAGAUGAAGACUCUGCUAGAUUUUCAG